GUCGGGUGUGGUGGUGCAUGCCUGUAAUCCCAGGAGAUCUAGAGACUGAGACAGGCGGAUCACAAGUGCAAAACCAGCCUCAGCAAUGGCGAGGUGCUAAGCAAUUCAGUGAGACCCUGUAUCUG
rnacentral:sRNA from 1 species